rnacentral:misc_RNA from 1 species
AUGCAGCCCGGCCUGAGUGGAGCUCUUUUUCUUUUUCUAUAAAAAAGAAAAAAGCGGGAACGGAGGACGGAUAGAGC